rnacentral:tRNA from 1 species
GGGGAUUUAGCUUAGUGGCAUAAGCGCCUGCCUGGCAAGUGUGAGGUCGUGAGUUCAAUCCCCG